ensembl:lncRNA CT69 cancer/testis associated transcript 69
GCUCUGAUCCUAAUAAUCCUUUUGAUACUCUGUUCUAAUUUACUAAGAAGAGUCACCAAUUUUGUUUCUGUGGUUUGGUAUGAAAUAAGGUGGCAGAAACAGCACUCUCCAAAUAUCCAUGCACUCCUGACAUUUUUCAGCAGCCCACAUUACUAAUUCUGGCUGAGGGAUUGGGAGCAGAAGAGACACGUGUCAUCUCUGAGUUGAGGCUGUUAAGAGCUGGUGCAACUUUCCAUUCUUCUCUUCCCCUCUAGCAGUGACCUGAGAAGCUACGUAUUGACACGGCGCUACCACGGGUGGAGGAGCCUGCAUUGCUGAAUCACAGGAUGAAGGCGAAUCCCUGCCAGCCUCCAUCCAUCUCUGGGGUGCUUAGCAGAAUCCUCAGCUCACAAGAUGAAUAAAUGCAGACUAAAUGAUGCACAAAUAAUCUUCACACACAACCAUCAACACAUGGAAAGACUGCAGGACGGCCAGAUCCCAAGCUAACAAACAGGGGAAGAUGAUGUUUCAAAUGAUCAUCUGAAUGCUGGGUUUCCACCUUCCACCAGGAAGUCAUAUGGUUGUUCAACAGUUUCGUAUCUGCCAAACCUGAGAAAAUUCUUCAUAAAAUUUCAGAGCUUUUGAGCCUCUUUGAAGUGGCAAUAUCCACAGGGGACCCGAUGUGCUCAGCUAAC